GUGUCAGCCGCCGCGGUAAUACGUAGGGUGCAAGCGUUAAUCGGAAUUACUGGGCGUAAAGCGUGCGCAGGCGGUUAUAUAAGACAGAUGUGAAAUCCCCGGGCUCAACCUGGGAACUGCAUUUGUGACUGUAUAGCUAGAGUACGGUAGAGGGGGAUGGAAUUCCGCGUGUAACAGUGAAAUGCGUAGAUAUGCGGAGGAACACCGAUGGCGAAGGCAAUCCCCUGGACCUGUACUGACGCUCAUGCGCGAAAGCGUGGGGAGCAAACAGGAUUAGAAACCCCGGUAGUCC
rnacentral:rRNA from 1 species